AGCAGCCGCGGUAAUUCCAGCUCCAAUAGCGUAUAUUAAAGUUGUUGCAGUUAAAAAGCUCGUAGUUGAAUUUCGGGAUCAGUACGCUGGUCGUGCCUUCGGUAUGUACUGGUGUUACUGGUUCCUACCUUCUGACGAACCGUCAUGUCAUUAAUUUGGUGUGGCGGGGAAUCAGGACUGUUACUUUGAAAAAAUUAGAGUGUUUAAAGCAGGCUCGCGCUUGAAUACAUUAGCAUGGAAUAAUGAAAUAGGACGUUCGAUCCUAUUUUGUUGGUUUCUAGGAUUGACGUAAUGAUUAAUAGGGAUAGUUGGGGGCAUUAGUAUUCAAUUGUCAGAGGUGAAAUUCUUGGAUUUAUUGAAGACUAACUACUGCGAAAGCAUUUGCCAAGGAUGUUUUCAUUAAUCAAGAACGAAAGUUAGGGGAUCGAAGACGAUCAGAUACCGUCGUAGUCUUAACCAUAAACUAUGCCGACUAGGGAUCGGAUGAUGUUAUUUUUAAUGACUCAUUCGGCGCCUUAAC
rnacentral:rRNA from 1 species